UCAUAUAAUGAAAUACUACUCAGCAAUAAAAAGAAAGGGACUAUUGAUACACCCAACAGCAAGAAUCAACCUCAAAUCAUUAUCUUGAGUGACAGUCAAAGGCACAAUCUAUUUAUAUAAAAUUCUUAAAAGCACUAGCUAAUCUACAAUAUAUUUAAAAAAAAUCAAUGCUUGCUUGCCUGGAGCAGUGAGUAACAGGAAGAAUAGUCUCCAAUGGGGCAAUAGGACACAAGAACUCUCUUGGGGAUGAUGAAAUGUUCUGUACUUGAUUGUGGAAGUGAUUUCAUGGGUGUAUACCUCCAUCAAAACUGAUCAAAUUUAAUGUAUUAUAAAGUUGAUAUAAAUUUCUAAAAAGAUUUAAACAGUCUAAAUAUAUUUCUAACAGCAUUUAUUUGCAUAAACAUUGGUUAGAGCUACAUAUCCACACCAUCACUCAAUUUCCUCAUUCAACAAAUGAGUCUUAUGUGGAACCUAUUGAAAGAGAAAGAAUAUCUUGACUAUAUUCUGAAACUGAGAAGAAUGGCACAGACAAGAUGAGGUCUUAUUAAGGCAGCAUGCUGAGAAAGGGCAGUUUAUCUUUUCUUUUUCUGUACAAUACCAGAACUAUGAUUAUAAUUAUUUAAUGGUCUCCAUCUAGUUCAGAUACUUCUUUUAUUUUUUUAGCCAUUCUUAAUAGAUUAUGUUAAUUCAGAGCUACAUAAUGUAGACAAAUGAAUUAGUUGAGAAUAAAUAAAAAGUCACACUAUGAAAUGAAUUAUGUACAUUUUCCCAAGAGUCAACCCAGGCAAACAUACCAAUUGUUAUUACACAUAAUAUACAUCUCUAAUAAUAAACAAUCCUUAUGAAAAAAAGAAUUUAUAAAACCAUUAAUCAUUAAUGAAUUAAAAUAAAGUCUCUGUCCCUUUUCCCUUUAGUUUAUCAUUCUGUUGUUUUUGCUUAGGUCUUGUCUGGUAGUUGCCCCACUUAUGGGACAGAGCCUCAGAAGUACAGAGAAUAUUUAACCCACAGCAGCAUAGUCAGGGUAGAAAAUCAGUAUGUUCUUAGAGAGUGUCAAAGGGAUCACUAGAAUGAGAAGAGUCCAUAAAUGAUGGAAGAAUGAGAACAGGUAUCUAUAGUGAGGUUUGUGUAUUGAGUGAAAAGUGGGUAAACACAAUCAUCAAUUCACCGCCUAACCCUCAAGGAAUAAUCUUUGGGGCACCCUUUUUACACAGAGAUCCAAAUGCUCAUGCUAUGCACCUCAUAAGUCGAGGAAAAUGCCAUAUUAGAGUGGAAAACCUGACUCUCUCUUUUUUUUGCAUAUCCUUUGUGGUAUUUCUUGCUACAUGUAUUCCUUGGUAUUAUUAGUCAAAUAUAUAAACUGCCUAGUUUUUCUGCUUUGCAAUUGCUCAAAGUUCAAACUAAGUCUUAAUCAAAUAAAAUAUUUAGUUCUCAUUACUAUUCUUACUCAUUUAUUAAACAUAUCCAAUCUGUGUCUUUAGUAGAGAGGGAGGCUGGGAGAGCAAGCUCAGCUUUGUCAGUUCUGCAAGUAUGAACCAACCAGAGGGAGGAAUUGCUGCUGAGCUAUGGAUGUCUCCGUAAGCAGGGGUGUUCAAAAGAAAUCAAAAAUGAAGUAAAGAGGAAUGUCUAUAAACCAGAAAAGAGAGUAUAACUGGGUUGUCAGAACAAGAAGGAGGUCCAUAGCAGGAAGAAGCUGGAAUCCAAAGCCAUUUGGUCAGACUGUUUGAGAUUAGUGUGUCAUUUGAGUACGAUCCUAGAUCAGUACCUAAAAUUGGACCUUUCACUUCCUAAAUAGUGCAAGACGGCACACGGAAAGGGCAGGCAGUAGUGAUCACUGAAGUGUUGAAAACUAUGGGGUUCUCAUUCCCUUCAAUGUACCUUCUGCAAACUGCCAGUUGUAGCCACUGCAUUCUCUUUGCCCUCUGUCUACCUCCCCAGCACAUCACUGCUCUUUGGUGAUGGUGGUGAGAGAUGAGAAAUAUAGAAAUUUCUCCAGCUUUUAGCUGGGAAAAGUAUCAUCUCCAGAUCAAGAACUAUCUGGAAAUGUCUCCCCAAUGGUGCCAGUAUAAUUAACUCCAUGAUACUUUCAUGCUGCUCCAUCAACCAUCAUUCACAGCUAGAGUAAAACAUGGCUGUGUAUUUAAUUAUUUUUUGUCUUCUUUAUGCAGACUUUUAUCAUAAUUCUGUGAUGCUCUGCAAAUGUUGGCACGUUGCUCCUGAAAAAGUCCUGGGAAGUUAUUUUCAAAAUAUAAAUUUCCUUGCUUACUAAAGUUAAAAGACACUGAGUGCCUUGUUUCUUUCUUAGAGUCAUCAUAAUCAUCAGUAUAAUCAUGUAUGAGGAGCAAGACAUAGCUAAAAUUUUUCUUCUCAUGCUUCAGUUUUUCUCUUACCUCACAGAUUCCAAUUCAAAGCAUAAAAUAGGGGCAAUAAUGACAUAAUAGAGUUUGUUGCUAGGAGUUGAGUUCUCAUAUCUGAAUGGUUGACAAGUGACUUCAGGCAAAUGACUUAGCCUCUCUCUUUAUCUUGAUCAGACAUUCUCUGAAAUCUGGCCAAGGGUAGAAGUAUCUGAAAGUAUCUGAAAGAAGUAUCUGAAAGGGCCAAGUACUGAAAGUAUCAGGACUGAACUGGAGGUCCAGUUCCCUAGAAGCGGAGCCUGAGAAAACAAAUUGAAUGCACAAGACAUACUGAGGGCAUCAUCUUCAGGCAAAGCCUGUGAAGGAGGGAUAAAAACAGAACAAGCACCAGAUAUAUUCUCCAGCAAACUGGUAUUAACUGAGUAGCACCUAAGUGGACACAUAGGUUUUGAUGCAGCACAAAAGCCCUCACCAGAAGCCAAGCUGAUGCUAUUGCCAUGUUUCUUGGACAGCCUGCAUAACAAACCAAAUAAACUUCUUUUCUUUAUA